rnacentral:rRNA from 1 species
UCUGGUUGAUUCUGCCAGUAGUCAUAUGCUUGUUUCAAGGACUAAGCCAUGCAUGCCUCAGAAUCACUGCACUGCAGGAAUCUGCGCAUGGCUCAUUACAUCAGACGUAAUCUGCCGCAAAUAUGUUGCGGUUCAUCCGCGAGAUUGGAUACCUUGGCGAAACGCCAAGCUAAUACAUGAAUACAAGUGGCGUCCUCCGUACAAUCCGCGGGGCAACCUUCGGAGUGAGGCGUCCAGCGAAUGAAUGCAAUUAAAACCAACGCCUCUGUGUGGGGCAGCAACACCUUAGAAGUGUUGAAUCAAUUCAUUCCGUGCGAAAGCCGAAUUUUUCGGCGCUUUCUGAUGAACAACUGCCCUAUCAGCCACUGAUGGCCGUGUAGUGGACUGCCAUGGCUUUGACGGGAGCGGGGGAUCAGGGUUCGAUUCCGGAGAGGGAGCCUGAGAAAUGGCUACCACUUCUACGGAGGGCAGCAGGCGCGCAAAUUGCCCAAUGCCGAGAAACGAUGAGGCAGCGAAAAGAAAUAGGUCUCCCAAACCCCCUCUGGGGGCUUGGGAGUUUACAAUGGGGGAUAUUUAAACCCAUCAAACAUCGAGUAACAAUUGGAGGACAAGUCUGGUGCCAGCACCCGCGGUAAUUCCAGCUCCAAGAGCGUAUAUUAACGCUGCUGCUGUUAAAGGGUUCGUAGUUGAACUGUGGACGUACACUGGAUUUCGGGUUUCGCCGAUCAACUACGGUUGGUUCAGGCACCCCGGCCGUUCGUCCGUGAACAUCAGAAACACAAACCACGGGAUCAAUUCCCCUCCGCUUCGCAUGCAACGUAUGCCUCAGGAGGGGUGCCCGUGAUAUUACUGUGACCAAAGAAGCGCGACUAAAGCAGUCGUCUUGACAUGAAUUAGAAAGCAUGGGAUAACAAAGAAGCAGCCUUGAGGCUACCGUUUCGGCUUUUGUUGGUUUUAAAGGCCUCUAGGAGAUUAUGGGGGCUGGUUCAAGGGGGCGGUUCUGACGGCUUGCCGUCAGCCCGUUUUCCGUCCGUGGGUUCAGCGUGACCGAAAGGAAGCGCUCCGCGGAGGCCAGUUCCUAGGAAUGAAGGAGGGUUGUUCGGGGGAGAACGUACUUGGGCGUGAGAGGUGAAAUUCUUAGACCGCCCAAAGACGAACUACAGCGAAGGCAUUCUCCAAGGAUACCUUCCUCAAUCAAGAACCAAAGUGUGGAGAUCGAAGAUGAUUAGAGACCAUUGUAGUCCACACCACAAACGGUGACACCCAUGAAUUGGGGAAUCAUUGGACAGUGGCCACAUUCCGUCUGAGUCGGCUACGGCCGUUCUCUUACGACUGCUGGUUUCACGCCAAUAUUGGACAACUUACUCACACGACCUAUUUUUUUCUCCACGUUUACCGUGGGGUUAUUUUAAGAGGUCGUCCUCAGCACGUAACCUGUUUGUUUUACGCGAAAGCUUUGAGGUUAUAGUCUCAGGGGGGAGUACGUUCGCAAGAAUGAAACUUAAAGAAAUUGACGGAAUGGCACCACAAGGCGUGGAGCGUGCGGUUUAAUUUGACCCAACACGGGGAACUUUACCAGAUCCGGAUAGGGUGAGGAUUGACAGAUUGAGUGUUCUUUCUCGAUCCCCUCAAUGGUGGUGCAUGGCCGCUUUUGGUCGGUGGAGUGAUUUGUUUGGUUGAUUCCGUCAACGGACGAGAUCCAAGCUGCCCAGUAGGAACCUAAAUCCUUUUCCAAAGUGACAGCAAUCCAGC